UGGAUGGAGUUGGAUCCUAUCUGAGUUUGGAGUGGAAAAGUACAGCUGUCUUGCUCCGGAGGGCGGAGACUUCCCUGUUGAAUACACGAGCCGACCAAUCAGAGGGCAGAAUAACACACUGAUUGACAGGCGGUGCUCAGAGCAGCAGCGAGGCUCCAGUGCUGGACUUCAUGUAAACUCUGUUGUUUUAUAACGAGCAGUUUCUGGCCUCAAAGACUGGACCUGGAAGUGAAACAGUAUUUAAUGUUAAAGAAGGAUUGUGGAGAUGUUAAAGAUAGUUAACUGAAUGUUUAUUAAUGAAUCAAUAACUUGUAAGUAAAGUUUCCAUGAAGUAAAACACAAGUGAAACAUUAGUGACUGAUCCUUCAUUAAGUCCAAUAACGAGUUCAAAAAGGGUCAACUGUCCAAUCGUAGCUUAGCAACUGUAACUAUGUACAGUAAGUACAUGAUGGAGUAUUUGUGUGUGGAGCCGGAGGAAGAUUGCUCUCUAACACAGAAUCAGGUUUAUUGCCAGGUACAUGCUGACUUCGACAUAGAGGCCAUUUUUUACAGUCUGUGAGGCCGACCAGUGUGAGUGUGUGAUCUGUUCCCUGCUGCUCCACUGACCUGACAGCUUGUACUGCACACACACACACACACACACACACACACACACACACACACACACACACACACACACACACACACACACACACACACACACAGAUACAGACUCAAGGAGAGAGAGAGAGAGAGAGAGAGGGGAGUUAAUAUUCUCUCAGCGGUGUGGUGAAUGUUUCACAGGACUGACAAUCUCCUCAAGGUACACAGACACACACACACACACACACACACACACACACACACACACACACACACACACACACACAGAUUCCACUGGCUGUGUGAGAUGAGUUUGGAUUGAGAGAGCAGAGCGAGUAGAAAUGAGGAAGAGGAGGCCUGCUGUUUGUGGAUGAUGUCAGAAGUGAAAUCAAAGUUUAAUUGCAUGUUUUUAUUUUGUUGAGUAUAAAAACAAUCACGUUCAUAGUCACAUGACUUCAGUCCACAACUCUGGUAUGUUUACAGUACAUCAGAAGAAACACAAAACAUAAAUUACAGAGUUAAGACUUACAGUGUAAUCUCUUUGUACUGAUGGUCUACCAGUAAACAGGUGGGUUUGUAAUCAGUAACCUCAUCCAAGUAUCACAAUAUUUAAGUAACUUAAUUACUUUACAUUACUUUUGGAUUACCUUGAAACUAAGUACAAGACAAGAGCAGGCCGUGGACCGAGACCGAGUCCUGGUAGCCCACCUGGUGGAGCUGCAGCCCCGUGGACCGAGACCGAGUCCUGGUUCCAACCUUUGACCCUUUGCUGCGUGUCAUCCUCUCUUCCUUUCCUGUUGUUCUUCAGCUGUCACUAUUGACAGUUACCUUUUGGUUGUAUCCUGAUUACCUGCCAGUGUGUAUCUGUACAUACAUGUAGUACCAGAUGUUAACAAGUUGUUAGGGUUGUUAACGGGGCUUUUUUUCUCCCCUUUUGUAUAAUUAUAAUAUAAAACUAUCAAUUUUUGUACAUGUAUUUUGUUUUUUCACUCUCAUUAUCUCUCUUAUUGUCUUCCUGUUUCUAAAAGACAAUAAAGAGAUGGUUAGGGAAUGAGGGGCUAACUCUAUAGGAACUUGAAUUUACACUUUUUAAACUUCCAUCCUUAAGAGCCGCUCAGAAGGUCACAAAUGAGCGUCGACCAUCAACGUUUGCUGGUGAACUGAGUGACUACAGAGAUGUUUUGUGCAGGUCUUGCUGUGGUUGUGACCUUAUAGGUUUGUGAGGAGGCGUGCUGAGUUUUAAAAGUUAUGAAAUGACACGUAGCUCUUUUUCACUGACUGUAUAACGUUUGUGUCCUUUGCUGCUCAUGACAGUUAUAAUGUGACCUGUAGUCCACAACAACAACGACCUGCACUCAGUUUCAAUCCACAUACAAUGUCGUAUCACAUUCUGUAAGUAGGCCUAUUUACACACUAACAUACAACCUAAUAUAGUUCCUGACAUUACUCUUUUCCUUGGACCUUUGCAUUUACCUAAAAACCCUUCAAAAGGAACUAUGUAGUUUCUAGUGUAUAUAGGGUCAUUUUGAAAUAACUCACAGCAGGUUUAUAACUCAUUACAGAUCCCCAAUGACAGAAGAGGUACCGUUUAGUUAAAAAAAAAAAAACAGUUUAAAUUAUUUCUCACUUCCCAGAUCAGUUCAUCUUCUUCCCUAACUUCACACACUUUUUACUUAUUAUAGUUUUAUAUUUUUAAUUCGUUUUUAUUUUGUUUCUAAUAGUUCACAGUGUGUUCGCGCUACUGGGCAUCCCUGCGGCGGUAAAGAGGAAGGUCAUUAGAGUCGGUACUGAAGCUGCAGAGUAAAGCCAUCAGGUAGCUGUGGAUCGAGAAGGCCGGUCCGCUGGGACACAAGUUGGGGUCUGAUCAACCCCCGACUGGGUCGCCUGGACGAGGUUGUCUGAUGUCUAAAGACCCGAAACACCCGAUGACCCCAGGUUACACUGAUCUGCAGGAUGUAUCUUUGUUUUUACCUCAGUUUCCAGAGCAGACUGGUUUGUUUUAAUUUAGUUUUUAUUGUUCAAAAAUGUUUGUAGUAAUUUUCUUUAUUAUAAUAUGAGGGGUAUUUGUCAGGGGUAAUAUUCUAAGAGGUCUAGAAUAAUGUAUUACAAAUAAAUGUACCAAAAAGACUUAAAAGACAUUUCCUGAAUAAUAUUUUAUUUAAUUAGUUUUGUUUAAGCAGACAAUAUUGUUAGUUAAUUAGUUAAUAGUUUUAUUUUCAGUAAACUAAAAUGUUUUUUCACACCUUUUUUAAUUUUAGGUUUAACUAACUAUAAUAAUCUUGCCUUGUACCUACAUUUAUGUAUCAGUACAUACUGCUACACCGUACUAGGAUUACACUGUAUAUUGGGAAGAAUUACACUUUACGUUGUGGUCAAUAAUCUAAAGCCAACAGCAGAAAAAACACCUCAUGUUAACAGCUAUAAUGAAAGUCCUGCUGAAACACAAAAUUGGUAAAUUCGAUAGAGAGAAAAACGUCUUUUGAGUCGUGUCGUUUGAGAUGUGGAUAAAGUUUCUUGUGUCUGCAGAGUUAGCAGCAUGAAAAUGAAGUUAUCACAUAAAAGAAAGUCUUUCAUUCUCUAAGACAGGCGCGCCGUCAGUAGUGGAGGAUGCAGUCAAUGAUAAAUAAUAAAAUUAAGUAACAUUUGCAUCACA